rnacentral:rRNA from 1 species
ACGAACGCUGGCGGCGUGCCUAAUACAUGCAAGUCGAACGGUCUUUCUAUGGAAGCUUGCUUCCACUGAGAAGAUAGUGGCGAACGGGUGAGUAACACGUGGGUAACCUGCCCAUAAGAGGGGGAUAACAUCCGGAAACGGGUGCUAAUACCGCAUAGUUUUCUUGAUCGCAUGAUUGAGAAAGGAAAGACGGCCUUUGUGCUGUUGCCUAUGGAUGGACCCGCGGCGUAUUAGUUAGUUGGUGAGGUAACGGCUCACCAAGACGAUGAUACGUAGCCGACCUGAGAGGGUGAUCGGCCACAUUGGGACUGAGACACGGCCCAAACUCCUACGGGAGGCAGCAGUGGGGAAUAUUGCACAAUGGGGGAAACCCUGAUGCAAGCAACGCCGCGUGAGUGAUGACGGCCUUCGGGUUGUAAAGCUCUGUCUUCAGGGACGAUAAUGACGGUACCUGAGGAGGAAGCCACGGCUAACUACGUGCCAGCCGCUGC